rnacentral:rRNA from 1 species
GGACUACCCGGGUUUCUAAUCCUGUUUGAUCCCCACGCUUUCGCGCCUCAGCGUCAGUAUCGAGCCAGUUGGCCGCCUUCGCCACCGGUGUUCUUGCGAAUAUCUACGAAUUUCACCUCUACACUCGCAGUUCCACCAACCUCUCUCGAACUCGAGACUCCCAGUAUCGAAGGCCGUUCUGUGGUUGAGCCACAGGAUUUCACCUUCGACUGAGGAGUCCGCCUACGCGCCCUUUACGCCCAGUGAUUCCGAACAACGCUAGCCCCCUUCGUAUUACCGCGGCGGCUGGCAC